rnacentral:rRNA from 1 species
AAUAGAUACCCUGGUAGUCACCCGUAAACGUUGGGAACUAGUUGUGGGGUCCUUUCCACGGAUUCCGUGACGCAGCUAACGCAUUAAGUUCCCCGCCUAGGGAGUACGGCCGCAAGGCUAAAACUCAAAGGAAUUGACGGGGACCCGCACAAGCGGCGGAGCAUGCGGAUUAAUUCGAUGCAACGCGAAGAACCUUACCAAGGCUUGACAUACACCAGAACACCCUAGAAAUAGGGGACUCUUUGGACACUGGUGAACAGGUGGUGCAUGGUUGUCGUCAGCUCGUGUCGUGAGAUGUUGGGUUAAGUCCCGCAACGAGCGCAACCCUCGUUCUAUGUUGCCAGCACGUAAUGGUGGGAACUCAUGGGAUACUGCCGGGGUCAACUCGGAGGAAGGUGGGGAUGACGUCAAAUCAUCAUGCCCCUUAUGUCUUGGGCUUCACGCAUGCUACAAUGGCCGGUACAAAGGGCUGCAAUACCGUGAGGUGAGCGAAUCCCGAAAAGCCGGUCCAGUUCGGAUUGAGGUCUGCAACUCGA